AUUCCAGCUCCAAUAGCGUAUAUUAAAGUUGUUGCAGUUAAAACGCUCGUAGUCGGAUUUCGGGGCGGCUUCGUCGGUCUGCCGAUGGGUAUGCACUGACGCGGGCGUCCUUCCUUCCGGAGACGCGUCCUACUCUUAGCUGAGCGGGGCGUGGAGACGGAUCGUUUACUUUGAAAAAAUCAGAGUGUUUCAAGCAGGCAUCAUCGCUCUUGCAUGGAUUAGCAUGGGAUAAUGAAAUAGGACCUUGGUGCUAUUUUGUUGGUUUCGAGCACCGAAGUAAUGAUUAAUAGGGAUAGUUGGGGGCAUUCGUAUUUAACUGUCAGAGGUGAAAUUCUCAGACCAGCGGAAGACGAACCACUGCGAAAGCAUUUGCCAGGGAUGUUUUCAUUA
rnacentral:rRNA from 1 species